GGGAUCAAUCUGGAAGACAUGCGCCCGGGUGGUGAAGAUGGGCUGUUCUCUGCAAUAAGAGAGAUGGGCAUUUUCCCAGGCUGACCUUGAACUCACCAUCUCCUGCCUCAUCCUCCUGAAUAUCUGAGACUACCAGGCUGGCUCGCGGUCCCCUGGAGCAGGGCAUGAUUCCAGGGAUGUGGAUUAUGAGGACGUUUCUCUCAGGUUCACCCAACCAGUCAGUCCUGAACCAACACUCUGCCAGCAGCUGGGUGGCAGCUGAAGAUGCAGAUGGCACAUUCUCACUGUGAUUCCCUGCAUCUGUCAUCAAGAGAGGCCAGGAGGUGGUGAGAGUGCGCACAACAGUAGGAGCCCACAAUCAAGUGGCACGGUACAGUCUGAAGCCCGGACAGCCCAGCUGUGCCACUGUCAACCCAGCCCUGCAUUUUCCUAAUCAUCUAAGUACAGCACCGCCAUAAAGAAAAAAAACAUUUCCUACAUGGUCUUCUUCUGCAUAUGCUCUCAAAUGACUUCUUGCUGGCUAAAAUGAAGCAAGCUGGGGAGACCCUCAAAGCAGGAAAUUGAGAGGGGACUGAAGCCAACGACUGGAGAAGAACUGAGGCCCAACAUCCCUGGAGCACCUGAAAUUCUGCCAAUACCCAGGGUUGUGAGCACGCAGCAACACCCAUCCAGACAUCUGAGGGUCCAAGGUGCUUUCAGGUAACCUGGAUAAUAAAUCUUGAGUUUGCUAAGAGCAAAAUCAGAGUACUUUAUAAACUCACCACCAAAUUUAGAGAAGCAGACCCCAACUUUAAAAGUAUUUUGCGUCACAUGAAAAAGUAAAAGAGCUGGAACUAGGACACAGAAGUCAGUUCCUACAUGUGUGCAAAUCAAUAUAAAUAGAAAGAGUCAAAAGAAUCAGAAC